rnacentral:rRNA from 1 species
ACCGGCGGCUCGAGUGGUGGCCACUAUUACUGGGCUUAAAGCGUUCGUAGCUGGCUUGUUAAGUCUCUGGGGAAAUCUUCCGGCUCAACCGGAAGGCGUCUCAGGGAUACUGGCAGGCUAGGGACCGGAAGAGGUGAGAGGUACUCCAGGGGUAGGUGUGAAAAGCAGAGAUCCGAGGGGGAGCACCAGAGGCGAAGGCGUCACACCGGAUGAGAUCCCACUGUUAGGCCCUAGAGCUAGUAGAGCAAACAG